UUAGUAUUGCAUUUUGCUCUCACCCUUCUUACCUUCUUUGUCUCUGAUUGCAGAUAUCAGUUCAAAACUUGAGCUGAGACGACAGCUUAGGUCAGACACAAGGAAAAACCGCAAGCGCUUGGUGAAAAAUUCAUGCUGUGCUUUGUGUGGUGACGUAAAAUACACUCCUCCCCCUAGUAAGAAUCUGGCCCCUUUACUCAGUCACAGAUCUAGAGCUGACCGCCCCAGCCAGACUGUGUGCCAGAAAGAUGAUGGUCAUAUCUCAGAGUCCCCGACCGCAAUGAAUUUCCGCUUCGAGAAAUACCCCAUGGUGAAUCUGUGCGAUGUAGCCAGAGUGUUUGACAUAGCCUCUCGUGAUUUCUCAUGUGUCUUACCAGCCGUACUAAGACAAAAGAGGAAGUGCAAAAGAGUGCAGUGCUUAAGGAAAAAAUGUGAUUUUCUUGUGCAUCCUCAUCUCCACGGCAUCAAGGAGUGUAGACGUAAGAUUGCCAACCAGUCCUGGGACGUUUCCACACCAACCCAUAGCUGUGCUUCUUUUUCAUCAGGUGAUCCACCAUCUGGAGCUACGGGCAGCACGCAUGUUUCAGACACAGCUGAGACUCCUGAUGGAUCUGCCAAGGAAUGGGAUGCUUGUCUUGCAAGGAAUCUAGACUUCGAGAGUAUGAGACAGACCGACGUUGAAGGAACAGAAUUGGUACUCCCAGGGUGUGAUGACAAUGGUCCUGUUUUGCAUUUCUGUGAGAAAGACAAGGCCUGUCCAAUGAAAAACAUCUCUGAAAGUCCUACCAGCCAGGCGCGUCGUGUACCACCUCUAAUACUCCGACGGGUUGCUGUCAAUGGUUUUGGUUUCAGAGGUGGUGAUGAUGAUGGGGAGAACAGUGGUCAUUCACUGAAUGAAGGGAAAGAGGAAGACCGUAGUAAUGAGGAUUCUGACAGUGAAGUGAACUCGCCUGAGAGUUUCUCCUGCCAGCGAGUGCAAGCCUACAUAUUUUUCCCUCAAUCAUCAUGCGCUCGCACAUACAAGACCUGGCCCUUCCCUAGAACAGGCCCUCCUAACGACCCCAGGUCACCGCUGCGCACUGGACCCCGCUGGAUUGUAACCACUUCAUUUCCGGCUAUCGUUCAAACUCCUCUCAGUGGAGCACCUGAAUGCUUAUCAGAUAAAGACAUUCCAAACGAAAUGUCCAAACCCACAAAGCAAAGCAAAAGCAGUGAUGAAACAAGAGAGGUACUGGAGGGGCAACCACUUUAUUCAUUUGUGCCAGGUGAGAACACAUUAGCAGUGUUGGAAAGGACUCAGAAAGGUCGAGCACAAAGUCUUAAUCCAAGUCGUACAAUGACACAGGAUAGUUUUAUUUCGAGACUUGCAGACCACAACAGUUACAGUUUAGAAAGUAGAGACAUACUGGAGCAGCAUCCUUCUGCUUUUGGUGAAAAACCGCCCACUUGCACACCUGAAAGGACUCCAAGGGGUCUAGUGCACAGUCCAAAAGUCAAUAUGAUUCAUGUUUCCAAACCUGCAGAGCCUGAGUCAAACCAAAGUCUGAAGAAAGCUUUGGAGGAUGUUCUUGAGUCCUCUGUACCUGCAGUGACUGAACAGGUUAAAAUCUGCAAAUUUAAUGGUCUUGGCUAUGCAACAUCAUUAGAGGAGUGUGGCCUUUUAAAAAAUCAUUGCCUGCUCAAGAAGUCCGAUCAGAAAGUGCUCUCAAGUGGGUCCGAAGUUCAGGCUGAUUUCAUAAGGGAUGAAGAUCAAAAAGUGUCCAAAGAUGUAUCGGCUGUUGAGAUCAGUACCCAUCCUGUUAGCCAAACCUCAAGAGCUGAGUCAGUCGAGGAUCAAGAGUGGAACGAAAAUAGUGACGGACAAACUCUCUAUAACCCUGGGUCGCUUUCAGAAAUAUGUCUUAAAGUAGAAAUGCUAAAAGCACAGCAUCCUCCUUUAGUGACAACAACUUCCGCAAUGGACCAGGAUGCUGAUGCCACACUGCAUACAGCCGGCAGCAAUCCUGACUGUUCAGGAGAAGAGAAGCAAAAGCAAGAAUUUGACAGCUGUACAGUUACAGGCUCCUCUUCUGAAGAUGAAAACGAACAUGUGACUAAUCUGUCAUCAGAUGACUCUGUGGCGCAUGAUGCUGCUGUGAGCUCACAGUCUGAUGGCGAUGGGACAAAUCCGAUGAAUGAUGAAGAACAAGGCCCCACCCCUCCACAAUUUCCAGCGGUUGCCGACAGCUUCCUGGAUGUUUCUCGAGCAUAUGAAGAAGACAUCCUUGUACUGGACGUCAUACAAGAUGAUCCAGAGUUAUUUGGGGCUGUUGUCACUGAAACUGUGAGUAAACAGGACACAUCAGCAGAGGAGAAUG
rnacentral:lncRNA from 1 species